AAGCCACAGGGGGCCUUAGGAGGAUUUUGAGAGGUAAAAUGAUAAAAUCAUAUCUGAGUUUUGGCACGAUUGCUCUAGCACAGUAUAAAGGGUGGACUGAUGGUGAAGAAUGGAAGCAACUGAAAGCAGAGAGACUACUGGGGAUAGUCUCAGGAACUGGAGGCGAGAGCGUAUCAGAUCCUCAAGUGAGUGGCAUGGAAGAGAAGUAAGAUUACUUUAAGGUACUGUCUUCCUCUCCCCAAAUGGUUAGAGAUGAAAAAAGAUAUUAAAGUAGCCACUGGCAAAUUUCAAAUUCAAAAAGUGUUUCUUUUCAUCAGAGUCUGGCAUGCUGUUGCUGACCUUAAGAUGACUUGGCAUUAAGGGUUUCUACAAAUAUUGCUGAUUACGCAGCAGGAUGGGUAAUUUUCAGAAAGUACACACUUCGGAUCCCAAUGGUAACAGGGGCUCACUGUGGAACCCACUUAGAGCCCUCCUGAUGGGAAGAGAAAUCAGCUGAUAAAGGUGACAUUCCUGGCAUCUUGGACUCAAAUGGCAACUUAAUUUUCUUCUUCUAAAGUUCAAAUAGGGGGAAAAAAAGCCUCAACAAUUUUUAAUGGCCUCACCAUUCCUUUCAGCUCUUGGGAGUGUCAUUUGCCUUAUGCUUCAAACUGUGGAAAGGGGCUCCUUUUUGGUUAAAUGUGACCUAAAUGUCAAAUGCUCUUUGGAUGGGUCCUUCAACAUGGAACCUACUAGAUUUGAGAACACCUUCUGGUUUGUACUUUAACGACGUUACAGAAAAAUACGGGCUGCAAAUAUGGAGGUAUUUUGGUGAAUAAGAUAAAUUUUUGGCAUCUGAAGUUGUUCUUGCUAGCGUUUCUCACUAUUUUUUCCCCAUUAAUUUCUUUGUCUAUUCUAUCUGUGCUCUCCAGUGGCUUCACGGGUAGAAGUACCAGAGGCAGUACCUAACCAGCCACUUCUUCAUUGCACCAGCCCCCGAGGGACAGGGGGCUUCUAACUCUGUGUUAUGGUCAGAUGGGAACAAAACGAACAUUAGGAGAUUAUGGUGAUAAGGAUGAUGCUGCCUGUACAGCCUCUGGAACUCUUGGCGCACACACAGCGGACUGCUGGGUGAAAACAGAGCCUUCAAACGACUUCAUUUCCUUUAAAGAGCAACAGGUUUUGUUUGGACAAACAGUACUUCUUUUGUCUGGGUUUGAUUUCAAACCAGCUCAUUCUCCAGAAGCAUUCAGAUUUUUAUUGAGCACUUACUAUGGGGGCAGGACUGUUCCAGGUUCUGGGGCCAGAGGAAUAAAAACGGCACAGCUGACUCCCUCCUUCUAGGAGUCAUCAUCAUCCACUGUGGAUACGGGGGAGCCCAGCACCCUCCUUACUUCAGCAUUGCCACAGUAGUGUACGGAUGUGCUAGCGAUGCACUGUUCAUUUUGUAUUAUCAACCGUAUGAACACACACACACACACACACACACACACACACACACACACACGUGCUUGUUAUUGUGACAGAGAAUGAAUGAAAUCUGUCAAUAUUCAUUUCUGGAGCCAUCCACAGUACUCUCUGCCUCGUUUUACUUGUCAUACUUCAAAAGGAAAAAGGCAGUAUGGAACAUAUUCAUAACAAAGCAACCUGAAUGUUGAAACCAUGUGAUAUUAGAAGCGAUUGCUGAAGGAGAUUCAGCAAUGGGUGUCAUCACGAUGAAUGGUUUCUUGUCAAGUUAAUAAAUAACGACUAAGGUGUGAUAAGAGAGCCCACUAACACUAAGAACGUUCUACACCGCAAGGGAAGGAACAAGAAUCCAAAAUUACGGUAUCUUUGAAAUGCUUAUCCUGAAUUAUGAUUUAACGUAACCUCUUCUUAGGUCUCAAGUUCUUGAAGGACGGCUCUUGCAUCUGUAUACUCCCUUACCGAUUAGCAGAGCACAUUCGUGAAAAAGUCAGUGACAAUAAAGUCACCAUAAUCACA